GACGAACGCUGGCGGCGUGCCUAAUACAUGCAAGUGGGACGCAAGGGAACACACUGUGCUUGCACACCGUGUUUUCUUGAGUCGCGAACGGGUGAGUAACGCGUAGGUAACCUGCCUAUUAGCGGGGGAUAACUAUUGGAAACGAUAGCUAAUACCGCAUAAUAUUAAUUAUUGCAUGAUAAUUGAUUGAAAGAUGCAAGCGCAUCACUAGUAGAUGGACCUGCGUUGUAUUAGCUAGUUGGUAAGGUAAGAGCUUACCAAGGCGACGAUACAUAGCCGACCUGAGAGGGUGAUCGGCCACACUGGGACUGAGACACGGCCCAGACUCCUACGGGAGGCAGCAGUAGGGAAAUGU
rnacentral:rRNA from 1 species